GGGGAAUAUUGGGCAAUGGGCGAAAGCCUGACCCAGCAACGCCGCGUGAAGGAAGAAGGUUUUCGGAUUGUAAACUCCUGUCGUUAGGGACGAUAAUGACGGUACCUAACAAGAAAGCACCGGCUAACUACGUGCCAGCAGCCGCGGUAAAACGUAGGGUGCAAGCGUUGUCCGGAAUUACUGGGUGUAAAGGGAGCGCAGGCGGACCGGCAAGUUGGAAGUGAAAUCCAUGGGCUCAACCCGUGAAUUGCUUUCAAAACUGCUGGCCUUGAGUAGUGCAGAGGUAGGUGGAAUUCCCGGUGUAGCGGUGGAAUGCGUAGAUAUCGGGAGGAACACCAGUGGCGAAGGCGACCUACUGGGCACCAACUGACGCUGAGGCUCGAAAGCAUGGGUAGCAAACAGGAUUAGAUACCCUGGUAGUCCAUGCCGUAAACGAUGAUUACUAGGUGUUGGAGGAUUGACCCCUUCAGUGCCGCAGUUAACACAAUAAGUAAUCCAUCUGGGGAGUACGACCGCAAGGUUGAAACUCAAAGGAAUUGACGGGGGCCCGCACAAGCAGUGGAGUAUGUGGUUUAAUUCGAAGCAACGCGAAGAACCUUACCAGGUCUUGACAUCGGAUGCAUAGUGCAGAGAUGCAUGAAGUCCUUCGGGACAUCGAGACAGGUGGUGCAUGGUUGUCGUCAGCUCGUGUCGUGAGAUGUUGGGUUAAGUCCCGCAACGAGCGCAACCCUUAUUGCCAGUUACUACGCAAGAGGACUCUGGCGAGACUGCCGUUGACAAAACGGAGGAAGGUGGGGAUGACGUCAAAUCAUCAUGCCCUUUAUGACCUGGGCUACACACGUACUACAAUGGCGUUUAACAAAGAGAAGCAAGACCGCGAGGUGGAGCAAAACUCAGAAACAACGUCUCAGUUCAGAUUGCAGGCUGCAACUCGCCUGCAUGAAGUCGGAAUUGCUAGUAAUCGCGGAUCAGCAUGCCGCGGUGAAUACGUUCCCG
rnacentral:rRNA from 2 species